rnacentral:rRNA from 1 species
CCUACGGGAGGCAGCAGUGAGGAAUAUUGGUCAAUGGCCGGAAGGCUGAACGAGCCAAGCCGCGUGAAGGACGAAGGUGCCAAGCAUUGUAAACUUCUUUUGUCAAGGGACAAAAUCAGGCUCGAGAGCCUGACCGAGGGUACUUGAAGAAAAAGCAUCGGCUAACUCCGUGCCAGCAGCCGCGGUAAUACGGAGGCUGCGAGCGUUAUCCGGAUUUAUUGGGUUUAAAGGGUGCGUAGGCGGACUGUUAAGUCAGCGGGAAAAGCCCGGGGCUCAACCCCGGCGAGCCGUGGAAACUGGCUGUCUUGAGAUGUCGAGAGGUAUGCGGAAUGCGCAGUGUAGCGGUGAAAUGCUUAGAUAUUGCGCAGAACUCCGAUUGCGAAGGCAGCAUACCGGCGGCGAUCUGACGCUGAGGCACGAAAGCGUGGGUAUCGAACAGGAUUAGAUACCCGAGUAGUC